rnacentral:rRNA from 1 species
GAUGAACGCUGGCGGCGUGCCUAAUACAUGCAAGUCGAGCGAACGGACGAGAAGCUUGCUUCUCUGAUGUUAGCGGCGGACGGGUGAGUAACACGUGGAUAACCUACCUAUAAGACUGUGAUAACUUCGGGAAACCGGAGCUAAUACCGGAUGAUAUUUUGAACCGCAUGGUUCAAAAGUGAAAGACGGUCUUGCUGUCACUUAUAGAUGGAUCCGCGCUGCAUUAGCUAGUUGGUAAGGUAACGGCUUACCAAGGCAACGAUGCAUAGCCGACCUGAGAGGGUGAUCGGCCACACUGGAACUGAGACACGGUCCAGACUCCUACGGGAGGCAGCAGUAGGGAAUCUUCCGCAAUGGGCGAAAGCAUGACGGAGCAACGCCGCGUGAGUGAGGAAGGUCUGCGGAUCGUAAAACUCUGUUAUUAGGGAAGAACAUAUGUGUAAGUAACUGUGCACAUAUUGACGGUACCUAAUCAGAAAGCCACGGCUAACUACGU